rnacentral:rRNA from 1 species
AUUGAACGCUGGCGGCAGGCCUAACACAUGCAAGUCGAACGAGUGGCGGACGGGUGAGUAGUGUCUGGGAAACUGCCUGAUGGAGGGGGCUAACUACUGGAAACGGUAUCUAAUACCGCAUACCAUCAGAUGUGCCCAGAUGGGAUGGGCUUGUUGGUGGUGUAACGGCUCACCAAGGAGCCGAUCCCUAGCUGGUCUGAGAGGAUGACCAGCCACACGGGAACUGAGACACGGGCCAGACACCUACGGGAGGAAGCAGUGGGGAAUAUUGCACAAUGGGCGAAAGCCUGAUGCAGCCAUGCGGCGUGUAUGAAGAUGGCCUUCGGGUUGUAAAGUACUUUCAGCGGGGAGGCGUUACCAACAGAAUAAGCACCGGCUAACUACGUGCCAGCAGCCGCGGUAAUUC